rnacentral:rRNA from 1 species
UACGUAGGUGGCAAGCGUUGUCCGGAAUUAUUGGGCGUAAAGCGCUCGCAGGCGGUCUUUUAAGUCUGAUGUGAAAUCUUGCGGCUUAACCGUAAGCGGUCAUUGGAAACUGGAGGACUUGAGUACAGAAGAGGAGAGUGGAAUUCCACGUGUAGCGGUGAAAUGCGUAGAGAUGUGGAGGAACACCAGUGGCGAAGGCGACUCUCUGGUCUGUAACUGACGCUGAGGAGCGAAAGCGUGGGGAGCAAACAGG